GGCCAGGUGGCUGAUGUAGAUCCAAGCUGUGUAGGUGAUGUGCUUGUGUAAAUCAGCCCUAAAUCUGGUCCUUGUUGGUGGCUGCUGCUUCUUUGGCUUGAGAAAUUCAGUACUUCACCACCCAGCCCUCCUGAAGCUGAUAUUUGGAAGGUCUCUGCAUGUGAUGAUUCUGAUUGCUCCUGAAGGACCUACUGCAGAUUGACAGGAGGCUGCCAAAACACAUUGUACCACAUCAGGAGGAGCAGAGGACAGCUUGAGACUCUCAUUCCUUCUCGUCUCUGGGGAUGAGGAG